AGCACUGGAGAAGAACGAGAGAGGGCACAGUGAAGCAAGAGGAACAUAAUGAAGAGGGUGCUCCAGUGCCACACUGAGACACAGGUUGUGCUUCCCUCACAGUAGUUUUAUUGCAGUGGUGACAGUGAGACCUGUAACAUUU